rnacentral:rRNA from 1 species
UGAAGACUGGAAUUGCUGGUAAUGGCAGGUCAGCAUACUGCCGUGAAUACAUUCCCGGGCCUUGUACACACCGCCCGUCACACCAUGAGAGUUGGAAAUACCCGAAGCCUGUGAGCUAACAGUAAUGAGGCAGCAGUCGAAGGUAGAGCCAAUGAUUGGGGUGAAGUCGUAACAAGGUAAC